CGGGCAUGCUUUCCACAGGCUUUCUUGAACUGUGAACUCGUGGGCGUGGUGGUGGUGGUGCUGGUGCUGGGUGU